AACAGGAUUAGAUACCCUGGUAGUCCACGCCGUAAACGAUGUCGACUUGGAGGUUGUUCCCUUGAGGAGUGGCUUCCGGAGCUAACGCGUUAAGUCGACCGCCUGGGGAGUACGGCCGCAAGGUUAAAACUCAAAUGAAUUGACAGGGGCCCGCACAAGCGGUGGAGCAUGUGGUUUAAUUCGAUGCAACGCGAAGAACCUUACCUACUCUUGACAUCCAGAGAACUUAGCAGAGAUGCUUUGGUGCCUUCGGGAACUCUGAGACAGGUGCUGCAUGGCUGUCGUCAGCUCGUGUUGUGAAAUGUUGGGUUAAGUCCCGCAACGAGCGCAACCCUUAUCCUUUGUUGCCAGCGGUUCGGCCGGGAACUCAAAGGAGACUGCCAGUGAUAAACUGGAGGAAGGUGGGGAUGACGUCAAGUCAUCAUGGCCCUUACGAGUAGGGCUACACACGUGCUACAAUGGCGCAUACAAAGAGAAGCGACCUCGCGAGAGCAAGCGGACCUCAUAAAGUGCGUCGUAGUCCGGAUCGGAGUCUGCAACUCGACUCCGUGAAGUCGGAAUCGCUAGUAAUCGUAGAUCAGAAUGCUACGGUGAAUACGUUCCCGGGCCUUGUACACACCGCCCGUCACACCACGGGAGUGGGUUGCAAAAGAAGUAGGUAGCUUAACCUUCGGGAGGGCGCUUACCACUUUGUGAUUCAUGACUGGGGUGAAGUCGUAACAAGGUAACC
rnacentral:rRNA from 1 species